UAGUAGCCGGACUGCACAUAAGAACGAUUUUGACAUGUAUGCCUUUUGGAACAUCAAUUGUGCGCACAAAAAUUUGUGCACGUACCUGACGUCGGGUACUUAUCAUUUCCUUUAAAAGAAAAGAAAAAACAUCCACAAAUAAUUCAAGGUAGCUCCGGCAUUGAACUUUGUUUCCUGUCAUUCAACCACUAAAUGAACAUUUGAGGAAUCAGUCUAUGAUUUAUUAGUAAGUCUUUUGCAUCGAAUAGAUUAAUUGCACGUACAUGCACGCAUAUUGACUCAUGUCUACGCCUUGCUAGCGCAUUAGUGCUGGACACAACAACACAUACAUGUAUAUGUGCUAUCACAGUUUUGAGUGUAACUCUUGUCGGGAUCAUAGAUGCUGCCCAUAGCAUAGCAAAUCUGUCUGCACCUCCCAAUCGAAGUAUCGCCAAUCAUGUAGUCGCACUUACUUUCAAGGUCUGUAAGACCUGCACAAAUUGAGAUGUGAAGAGGCUCAAUGUGAUUAGAAAUAAAAAAAUACAACGUGAUUAGUAAAGUACACAUAAAUCAUUUUUUAGAUGUAUACGUUUAUUUUAUGGACCCCAAUAGCUAGGAUGAACGAAAUGUUCGCUAGGGAAAACGGGCUAAGCUAAAUUCCAGCGAACCAGAGCCCCUCCUGUUCAUUGUAGUGGGAUUCCAACGCAGCCGAAUUGGCCCAGUAAGCGCGUAAGGAAAACGGGCUAAGCCAAAUUUUACUUUUUGGCAAAAGAAAAUGCCAUCAUGAACAAAAAGAAAAUCUGAUACGGAAGAAAGCAGAGAAACAUAAAUUUACAAAUGUGGCAUGGUAUUUACAAAAUAUAAAAAAUGUCAUGCGCUAAUUUGUAAAAGAACUGAAAUUGGCUGAGGCCAACUUCAACAGAAAUAAAUUGUUUUAUCUGGAUAAUUUCAAUAAAUUUGCCAUGGUCCAAAGACAAAAAAAAAUUGUAAACGGUAAGAAAAAUUGCCAAUGUCUAACUAAUAAAAUUGUCAUGGUCUAAUUAUUAAAAUUGUCAUGGUGUAACCAAAAAAUAUGUCAGGGUGAAAUAAUAAUAGUGCAUGGUCAAUAAAAUAAAAUUGCCAUGCUACUUCCAAAAAACUACCAUGGGCUAAAUAAUUAAAAUUACCAUGGUACCUCCAAUAGAAUUACCAUGGCGUAAUUAAUAAAAUUUCCAUGGACAAAUUAAAAAAAUUGCCAUGGUCUAAGAAAAUGGAAUUGUCAUGCUACCUAUAAAUUAAUUGCACAUGGCAAGUUCAGAAAAUUUCUCCUCUAAAAAACAUGGCAACUUUUGGGAUUUGUAAUUGGCGCAUGGCAAGAAAAAAUUAAAUUGCACAAAUUGUUCUUAAAAAACAUGGCAACUUUUGGGAUAUCUUUUUUUUUUACGUUUGGGAUAUCCGACGGGCUAUUUUGUAGUAGAGCUACUCAAGCGGACAAUAAUCUUCUAGUGAGGCAUGCAUAGGAAGUAUAAUACCUGACAAUCGCACACCCGCCCUGAAAGAUAUGAAGCGUUCCUACUCCAUCGAGGGAGCCGCGUGGUAGUUUAUAUUGAUGCGUGGCCGAAGCCUGGCUUGACGUACAAGGUUAUGACAGAAAGAGUUUGGGUAGAAUACAAAAGAAGGAAGGAGGUUGAGAUUACAACUCUAUAUUCUAACACCCUCCCUUAAUCUCAACUAACCUAAGUUAAGAUUACUCUUGAAUUCUUCAAAUGGUCUUGCUGGUAGUGCUUUUGUAAAACCGUCAGCCACUUGAUCCUUAGAAGGAAUAAAUCGAAUAUCAAGUUUCCUUGCCGCAACCCUUUCUCGUACAAAGUGAAAAUCAAUUUCUAUGUGCUUUGUCCUGGCAUGGAACACUGGAUUUGCAGACAGAUAUGUUGCUCCCAAAUUAUCACACCAUAAACAUGAGAUACGAUUCUUCUUGAUUCCCAAUUCCUCAAGAAGUGAUUCAACCCAAAUGAUCUCAGCAGUUGCAUUAGCCAAAGACUUGUAUUCAGCUUCUGUACUUGAGCGUGACACAGUAGCUUGUUUUCUAGCACUCCAGGAGAUAAGAUUAGAUCCAAAGAACACUGCAAAACCUCCAGCUGAUCUUCUGUCAUCACUACAUCCUGCCCAGUCAGCAUCAGAGAAUGCACUCACAAGAGAAGAAUUAGACCGUUUGAAAUGAAGUCCUAUUCCCAUAGUAUGUUUCACAUAUCUCACAAUCCUCUUGACAGCUGACCAAUGUGCAGAAGUAGGUGCAUGAAGAUAUUGACAAACCUUGUUGACAGCAAAUGAGAUAUCUGGACGUGUGAGAGUUAAAUAUUGUAGUGCUCCCACAGUACUCCUAUACCUUGUACUCUCCUCCUCUUGAAGUGGCUCACCCUCAUAUGCUGAGAGACUUUCUGAGGAGGAUAAAGGUGUAGACAUUGGCUUGCAAUUUUUCAUCCCCAUGCGAGACAGAAGCUCAAGAAUAUAUUUUUCCUGAUUUAACACAAUACCAUCUUGAGUUUUCUUGACUUCAAUACCCAAGAAGAAAUGCAAAUCACCUAGGUCCUUCAAGGCAAACUCUGAGCUCAAAUCAUGCAAAAGAGCAUUAGUAGCAUUUUGUGAAGAACUUGCAACUAUGAUAUCAUCAACAUAUAUAAGCACAAAAAUGACUACUCCUGCCUUGUUAUAAAUAAACAAGGAUGUGUCAGCCUUGGAAGCAACAAAGCCAAGAUAUUUUAACUGUAAGCUCAAUCUGGAAUACCAUGCUCUGGGUGCUUGCUUUAGACCAUAGAGUGCUUUAUCAAGCUUGCAGAUAUACUGUGGCAAUUUCUUAUUCUCAUACUCAGGUGGUUUUCUUAUAAACACUUCCUCUUCCAGAACACCGUGCAGAAACGCAUUCUGUACAUCUAGCUGCCUUAAACUCCAUCCUCUAGAUACAGCAAUGGCUAACACAAGUCUGAUAGUUGCAGCUUUCACAACGGGACUAAAGGUGUCCUCAUAGUCAAUGCCAUAACGUUGCUUAAAGCCCUUUGCAACUAGACGUGCCUUAUAUCUGUCAAUGGAGCCAUCUGCCUUCUUCUUAAUUCUAUACACCCAUUUGCAAUCAAUAAUAUUUUUACCUCUCUGAUUUGGUACAAGAUGCCAAGUCUUAUUCCUCAUGAGCGCAGAAUACUCCAAAUCCAUUGCCUUUUUCCAUUUAGGAUCAUCAAGUGCAUUCUUCAACGAUGUUGGUUCUCCUGAAAUACACAACAUUCCAUAUGGUAUACUUCCAUCUUUCCUAAUUUUAGGAUUUCGUAUACCUUUCUGUAGCCGGGUCAUAACACGUGAAGAAACCUCUUGCUGCACCGCUGGUAUACUUGCCACAGAAGAUCCAGGAGAAUCUGCUGAUGCAGUGGACUGAUUUGUCGUCAUAUGCGCAGGGGAUCCUGUGGCUUCUGGUGUGGCUGCCCCUCCUGCAGGCACUGGCGCAGAGGAUCCGCCACCCGACCGCGACUGGAGGCGCGCGUGGUGCGGAGAGGAUCUGGUCCCGCCGCUGGUCCUGUCUGACGCUGGCGCGCGGGGCGAGGGGGAUUCGGCCCCGCUGCUGGUCCCGCCUGAAGCUGACGCGGCAGCACGGGAGUGGCCCGCCCUGGAUCCAGGACUGGAGCCAUCAGGGGCUUGAUCCGAGGCGGAUGCGGUCGCGUGAUCCGAGAUCUGCGCGCGUGCAGGGGUGGCAGGCGCCGCCAGAUCUUCUUCGUCAUCUGUGCCAGCUUCGUCUCCUUCCUCAGCAUGAAAUAUAGGAUCAAAACCAGCCAUAUUUUCGAGAUCUUGGUCAUUUUGAGCACCGUUUUCUCCAGGGACCUGCACAGGCAUAAGAGAAAGACUAGUACCAGCAGGAAUAUCAUCACAUUGGUUAGUACAAUUGUUGUCGCCCCCAUGAUCAAAAGACCGAAGAUGUGAAGGAAGAAGAAGAAUUUCUUUGCGGAGAAGUGCACCAGCAUUAGGAUGAAGGGAUGCAAAGGGAAACACGGACUCAUCAAACACAACAUCUCUGGAUAUAUACACCCGAUCAGUAGGAACAUCAAGGCACUUAACCCCUUUAUGCAUGGGGCUAUAGCCUAAAAAGACACACCGUUUUGAGCGGAAAGCGAGUUUGCGUGUGUUGUAAGGCCUAAGAUUGGGCCAACAGGCACAACCAAAAAUACGAAGAGAUGUAUAGUUGGGUGUGACACCAAGAAGUCGUGUAAUGGGUGUUUCAAAUUUGAUAACUUUACUUGGAAGCAAGUUGAUGAGAUAUGUAGCAGUUAAGAAUGCUUCAUCCCAAAAUUUAAGCGGCAUGGAAGCAUUUGCUAACAAGGCAAGCCCCAUAUCAACUAUGUGACGGUGCUUUCUUUCAGCGGAUCCAUUUUGUUUGGUGAGCAUGCGGACAAGAUACAUGGUGUGAUAUGCCAAGAUUUUGAAAGAAAGAAUUUAGUUUUUCAUACUCACCACCCCAGUCACUUUGCAUAGCAAUGAUUUUAGAGUUCAGUUUGCGUUCAACAAGAUUUUGGAAAUUGAGGAAAACUUGGAAUACAUCAGAUCGCUUUUUCAACAGAUAAAUCCAAGUAAAUUUACUAUAGUCAUCAAUAAAACUUACAUAAUAGGAAAAUCUACCAACUGAAAUAGGAGCUGGCCCCCAUACAUCUGAAAAGAUAAGUUGUAAAGGGGCAGUAGACACACUAGUAGAAAUUGGGUAAGGUAAUUGAUGACUUUUUGCUUGUUGACACGGAUCACAAACUAACUCACUACUAGGCUCAUAAGAGAGUUUAUUUUUGCUAAGAACAUAUCUAACUAUGACUGAAGAUGGAUGACCUAAACGACUAUGCCACCUUGAUGUAGAUAGCUUGGUGACAAUAUUUGCUUGUUUAUUGGACCAUGAAGAUGAUGAUGAUGAUGAUGAUAUGAGUGGGUAGAGUCCUCCCACGCACCGUCCUCUAAGAAUGACUCUCCUUGUUUUCAAGUCCUUAACCAAGAAAAAAUAAGGAUAGAACUUAAUAAGAACAUUGUUAUCAAGAGUGAAUCGAUGAACGGAAACAAGAUUUUUAGAGGUUUGAGGAACAUGCAAGACAUUGGUCAAGUGUAAAUUUUUCUGUUGGGGAACGUUGCAGAAAAUUAAAAUUUUUCCUACGGUUUCACCAAGAUCCAUCUAUGAGUUCAUCUAAGCAACGAGUCAAGGGAGAGAGUUUGCAUCUACAUACCACUUGUAGAUCGCGUGCGGAAGCUUGCAAGGUGAUGAUGUAGUCGUACUCGAUGUGAUUCGAAUCACCGAUGACCAAGUGCUGAACGGACAGCACCUCCGCGUUCAACACACGUACGGGACGGGAGACGUCUCCUCCUUCUUGAUCCAGCAAGGGGGAAGGAGAGGUUGAGGAAGACAGCUCCACCGGCAGCACGACGGCGUGGUGAUAGUGGAGAGGCAGUACUCCGACAGGGCUUCGCCAAGCACACAACGGAGGAGGAGAGGUGUUGGGGAGGGGAGGGCUGCGCCUUGGAGGGUGGUGCGGCUGCCCUCCCCUCACCCCUCUAUUUAUAGGGGGAAGGGAGAAGGGGGCCGGCCCCCUAGAACCCAUCUAGGGGGGGUGCGGCAGCCUAGGGGAGAGGGGAGAGGGUGGCUUGCCCCCCAAGCCAAGGGGGGCGCCCCCUCUAGGGUUCCCCCUCAACCCUAGGCGCAUGGGCCCAAGGGAGGGGGUUGCGGCCAGCCCACCAGGGGCUGGCUCCCUGCCCCACGCAGCCCAUGUGGCCCCCCGGGAGGGGUGGCCCCUCCCGGUGGACCCCCGGAACCCUUCCGGUGGCCCCGGUACAAUACCGGUAUGACCCCGAAACUUCCCGGUGUCCGUUUGACAACUUCCCAUAUAUAAAUCUUUACCUCCGGACCCUUCCGGAUUUCCUCGUGACGUCCAGGAUCCCAUCCGGGACUCCGAACAACAUUCGGUAGUCACAUACUAGUCUUCCUAAUAACCCUAGCGUCACCGAACCUUAAGUGUGUAGACCCUACGGGUUCGGGAGACAUGCAGACAUGACCGAGACGCUCUCAGUCAAUAACCAACAGCGGGAUCUGGAUACCCAUGAUGGCUCCCACAUGCUCCUCGAUGUUGUCAUCGGAUGAACCACGAUGUCGAGGAUUCGAUCAAACCCUGUAUGCAAUUCCCUUUGUCAAUCGGUACGUUACUUGCCCGAGACUCGAUCAUCGGUAUCCCAAUACCUUGUUCAGUCUCGUUACCGGCAAGUCACUUUACUCGUACCGUAAUGCAUGAUCCCGUGUCCAACACCUUGGUCACAUUGAGCUCAUUAUGAUGAUGCAUUACCGAGUGGGCCCAGAGAUACCUCUCCGUCAUACGGAGUGACAAAUCCCAGUCUCGAUCCGUGUCAACCCAACAGAUACUUUCGGAGAUACCUGUAAUGCACCUUUAUAGUCACCCAGUUACGUUGUGACGUUUGAUACACCCAAGGCACUCUUACGAUAUCCGGGAGUUACACGAUCUCAUGGUCGAAGGAAGAGAUACUUGACACUGACAAAGCUCUAGCAAAACGAACUACACGAUCUUUUAUGCUAUGCUUAGGAUUGGGUCUUGUCCAUCACAUCAUUCUCCUAAUGAUGUGAUCCCGUUAUCAACGACAUCCAAUGUCCAUAGUCAGGAAAACAUGACUAUCUGUUGAUCACAACGAGCUAGUCAACUAGAGGCUCACUAGGGACAUAUUGUGGUCUAAGUAUUCACACGUGUAUUACGAUUUCCGGAUAAUACAGUUAUAGCAUGAAUAAAAGACAUUUAUCAUGAACAUUGAAAUAUAAUAAUACUUUUAUUAUUGCCUCUAGGGCAUAUUUCCAACAGUCUCCCACUUGCACUAGAGUCACCAAUCUAGUUACAUUGUGAUGAAUCGAACACCCAUAGAGUUCUGGUGUUGAUCAUGUUUUGCACGCGAGAGAGGUUUAGUCAGCGGAUCUGCGACAUUCAGAUCCAUGUGCACUUUGCAAAUCUCUAUGUCUCCAUCUUGAACAUUUUCACGGAUGGAUUUGAAACGACGCUUGAUGUGCCUGGUCUUCUUGUGAAACCUGGGCUCCUUGGCGAGGGCAAUAGCUCCAGUGUUGUCACAGAAGAGUUUGAUCGGCCCCGACGCAUUGGGUAUGACUCCUAGGUCGGUGAUGAACUCCUUCACCCAAAUCGCUUCAUGCGCUGCCUCCGAGGCUGCCAUGUACUCCGCUUCACAUGUAGAUCCCGCCACGACGCUCUGCUUGCAGCUGCACCAGCUUACUGCUCCACCAUUCAACAUAUACACGUAUCCGGUUUGUGACUUAGAGUCAUCCAGAUCUGAGUCGAAGCUAGCGUCGACGUAACCCUUUACGACGAGCUCUUCGUCUCCUCCAUAAACGAGAAACAUGUCCUUUGUCCUUUUCAGGUACUUCAGGAUAUUCUUGACCACUGUCCAGUGUUCCUUGCCGGGAUUACUUUGGUAUCUUGCUACCAAACUUACGGCAAGGUUUACAUCGGGUCUGGUACACAGCAUGGCAUACAUAAUAGAUCCUAUGGCUGAAGCAUAGGGGAUGACACUCAUCUCUUCUUUAUCUUUUGCCGUGGUCGGUGACUGAGCUGAGCUCAGUCUCAUACCUUGUAACAUAGGCAAGAACCCCUUCUUGGACUGAUCCAUUCUGAAUCUCUUCAAAAUCUUAUCAAGGUAUGUGCUUUGUGAAAGACCUAUGAGGCGUCUCGAUCUAUCUCUAUAGAUCUUGAUGCCUAAUAUAUAAGCAGCUUCUCCAAGAUCCUUCAUUGAAAAACACUUAUUCAAGUAGGCCUUAAUGCUGUCCAGAAAUUCUAUAUUAUUUCCCAUCAGGAGUAUGUCAUCUACAUAUAAUAUGAGAAAUGCUACAGAGCUCCCACUCACUUUCUUGUAAACGCAGGCUUCUCCAUAAGUCUGCAUAAACCCAAAUGCUUUGAUCAUCUCAUCAAAGCGAAUGUUCCAACUCCGAGAUGCUUGCACCAGUCCAUAAAUGGAUCGCUGGAGCUUGCAUACUUUGUUAGCGUUCCGAGGAUCGACAAAACCUUCCGGCUGCAUCAUAUACAGUUCUUCCUUAAGAUGCCCGUUAAGGAAUGCUGUUUUGACGUCCAUCUGCCAUAUCUCAUAAUCAUAGUAUGCGGCAAUUGCUAACAUGAUUCGGACGGACUUUAGCUUCGCUACGGGAGAGAAUGUCUCGUCGUAGUCAAUCCCUUGAACUUGUCGAUAACCCUUAGCGACAAGUCGAGCUUUAUAGAUGGUAACAUUACCAUCCGCGUCCGUCUUCUUCUUAAAGAUCCAUUUGUUUUCUAUCGCUCGCCGAUCAUCGGGCAAGUCUGUCAAAGUCCAUACUUUGUUUUCAUACAUGGAUUCUAUCUCGGAUUUCAUGGCUUCAAGCCAUUUGUUGGAAUCCGGGCCCGCCAUUGCUUCUUCAUAGUUCGAAGGUUCAUUGUUGUCUAACAACAUGAUUUCCAGGACAGGGUUGCCGUACCACUCUGGUGCGGAACGUGUCCUUGUGGACCUACGAAGUUCAGCAGUAACUUGAUCCGAAGUACCUUGAUCAUUAUCAUGGUUUUCCUCUUCAGUUGGUAUGGGCAUCACAGGAACGGUUUCCUGUGCUGCGUCACUAUCCCGCUCAAGAGGUAGUACUUCAUCGAGUUCUACUUUCCUCCCACUUACUUCUUUCGAGAGAAACUCUUUUUCCAGAAAGCAUCCGUUCUUGGCAACAAAGAUCUUGCCUUCGGAUCUUAAGUAGAAGGUAUACCCUACAGUUUCCUUAGGGUAUCCUAUGAAUACGCAUUUUUCCGACUUGGGUUCGAGCUUUUCAGGUUGAAGUUUCUUGACAUAAGCUUCGCAUCCCCAAACUUUUAGAAACGACAGCUUAGGUUUCUUUCCAAACCAUAGUUCAUACGGUGUCGUCUCAACGGAUUUAGACGGUGCCCUAUUUAAAGUGAAUGUAGCUGUCUCUAGAGCGUAUCCCCAAAAUGAUAGCGGUAAAUCGGUAAGAGACAUCAUAGACUGCACCAUAUCCAAUAGAGUGCGAUUACGACGUUCGGACACACCGUUUCGCUGAGGUGUUCCAGGCGGCGUGAGCUGUGAAACGAUUCCACAUUUCUUUAAGUGUGUACCAAAUUCGUGACUUAAGUAUUCUCCUCCACGAUCUGAUCGUAAGAAUUUUAUCUUUCGGUCACGUUGAUUCUCCACCUCAUUCUGAAAUUCCUUGAACUUUUCAAAGGUCUCAGACUUGUGUUUCAUUAAGUAGACAUACCCAUAUCUACUCAAGUCAUCUGUGAGAGUGAGAACAUAACGAUAUCCUCCGCGAGCCUCAACGCUCAUUGGACCGCACACAUCGGUAUGUAUGAUUUCCAACAAGUUGGUUGCUCGCUCCAUUGUUCCGGAGAACGGAGUCUUGGUCAUUUUACCUAAGAGGCAUGGUUCGCACAUGUCAAACGAUUCAUAAUCAAGAGACUCUAAAAGUCCAUCGGCAUGGAGCUUCUUCAUGCGCUUGACACCAAUGUGACCAAGGCGGCAGUGCCACAAGUAUGUGGGACUAUCGUUAUCAACUUUAAAUCUUUUGGCAUCUACACUAUGAACAUGUGUAAUAUUACACUCGAGAUUCAUUAAGAAUAAACCAUUGACCAUCGGAGCAUGACCAUAAAACAUAUCUCUCAUAUAAAUCGAACAACCAUUAUUCUCAGACUUAAAUGAGUAGCCAUCUCGUAUUAAACGAGAUCCAGAUACAAUGUUCAUGCUCAAACUUGGCACUAAAUAACAAUUAUUAAGGUUCAAAACUAAUCCCGUAGGUAAAUGUAGAGGCAGCGUGCCGACGGCGAUCACAUCGACUCUGGAACCAUUCCCGACGCACAUCGUCACCUCGUCCUUCGCCAGUCUCCGUUUAUUCCGCAGCUCCUGCUGUGAGUUACAAAUAUGAGCAACGGCACCGGUAUCAAAUACCCAGGAGUUACUACGAGUACUGGUAAGGUACACAUCAAUCACAUGUAUAUCAAAUAUACCUUUGGUGUUGCCGGCCUUCUUAUCCGCUAAGUAUUUGGGGCAGUUCCGCUUCCAGUGACCCUUCCCCUUGCAAUAAAAGCACUCAGUCUCAGGCUUGGGUCCAUUCUUUGACUUCUUCCCGGUAACUGGCUUACCAGGCGCGGCAACCUCCUUGCCGUCCUUCUUGAAGUUCUUCUUACCCUUGCCCUUCUUGAACUUAGUGGUCUUAUUGACCAUCAACACUUGAUGUUCUUUCUUGAUUUUAGCCUCUGCUGACUUCAGCAUCGAGAACACUUCAGGAAUGGUCUUUUCCAUCCCCUGCAUGUUGUAGUUCAUCACAAAGCUCUUGUAGCUUGGUGGGAGCGACUGGAGGAUUCUGUCAAUGACCGCCUCAUCUGGGAGGUUAAUGUUCAGCUGGGUCAUACGGUUGUGCAACCUAGACAUCUUCAGGAUGUGCUCACUGACAGAACUGUUUUCCUCCAUCUUACAACUGUAGAACUUGUCGGAGACAUCAUAUCUCUCGACCCGGGCAUGAGCUUGGAAAACUAGUUUCAGCUCUUCGAACAUCUCAUAUGCUCCGUGAUGCUCAAAACGUUUUUGGAGCCCCGGUUCUAAGCUGUAAAGCAUGCCGCACUGAACGAGGGAGUAAUCAUCAGCACGAGACUGCCAAGCAUUCAUAAUGUCUUGGUUCUCUGGGACGGGAGCGUCACCUAGCGGUCCUUCUAGGACAUAUUGUUUCCUGGCAGCUAUGAGGAUGAUCCUCAGGUUCCGGACCCAGUCCGUAUAGUUGCUGCCAUCAUCUUUCAGCUUGGUUUUCUCUAGGAACGCGUUGAAGUUCAUGUUGACAUUAGCGUUGGCCAUUGAUCUACAAGACAUAUUUGCAAAGGUUUUAGACUAAGUUCAUGAUAAUAAAGUUCUAAUCAAAUUAUGAACUCCCACUUAGAUUAGACAUCCCUCUAGUCAUCUAAGUGUUACACGAUCUGAGUCGACUAGCCCGUGUCCGAUCAUCACGUGAGACGGACUAGUCAUCGUCGAUGUACAUUCUCAUGUUGAUCGUAUCUUCCAUACGACUCGUGUUCGACCUUUCGGUCUCCGUGUUCCGAGGCCAUGUCUGCACAUGCUAGGCUCGUCAAGUUAACCCUAAGUGUUUUCGCUGUGUAAAACUGUCUUAUACCCGUUGUAUGUGAACGUAAGAAUCCAUCACACCCGAUCAUCACGUGGUGCUUAGAAGCGACGAACUGUAGCAACGGUGCACAGUUAGGGGAGAACACUUCUUGAAAUUUUUGUAAGGGAUCAUCUUAUUUACUACCGUCGUCCUAAGUAAACAAGAUGCAUAAACAUAAUAAACAUCACAUGCAAUUAUAUAGUUGUGACAUGAUAUGGCCAAUAUCAUAUAGCUCCAUUGAUCUUCAUCUUUGGGGCUCCAUGAUCAUCUUGUCACCGGCUUGACACCAUGAUCUCCGUCAUCGUGUCUUCAUGAAGUUGUCACGCCAACGACUACUUCUACUUCUAUGACUAACGUUUAGCAAUAAAGUAAAGUAGUUUACAUGGCGUUAUUCAAUGACACGCAGGUCAUACAAAAAAUAAAGACAACUCCUAUGGCUCCUGCCGGUUGUCAUACUCAUCGACAUGCAAGUCGUGAAUCCUAUUACAAAGAACAUGAUCUCAUACAUCACAAUUCAUCAUUCAUCACAACUUCUGGCCAUAUCACAUCACAUGAUCAAUCGCUGCAAAAACAAGUUAGACGUCCUCUAAUUGUUGUUGCAUCUUUUACGUGGCUGCAAUUGGGUUCUAGCAAGAAUGUUUUCUUACCUACGAAUCACCACAACAUGAUUUUGUCAACUUCUAUUUACCCUUAAUAAGGGCCCUGUUCAUCGAUUCCGCUCCAACUAAAGUGGGAGAGACAGACACCCGCCAGCCACCUUAUGCAACUAGUGCAUGUCAGUCGGUGGAACCGGUCUCACGUAAGCGUACGUGUAAGGUUGGUCCGGGCCGCUUCAUCCCACAAUACCGUUGAGCAAGAAAAGACUAGUAGAGGCAAGUAAGAUGACAAAAUCCACGCCCACAACAAAAUUGUGUUCUACUCGUGCAAAGAGAACUACGCAUAGACCUAGCUCAUGAUGCCACUGUUGGGGAACGUUGCAGAAAAUUAAAAUUUUUCCUACGGUUUCACCAAGAUCCAUCUAUGAGUUCAUCUAAGCAACGAGUCAAGGGAGAGAGUUUGCAUCUACAUACCACUUGUAGAUCGCGUGCGAAAGCUUGCAAGGUGAUGAUGUAGUCGUACUCGACGUGAUUCGAAUCACCGAUGACCAAGUGCUGAACGGACAGCACCUCCGCGUUCAACACACGUACGGGACGGGAGACGUCUCCUCCUUCUUGAUCCAGCAAGGGGGAAGGAGAGGUUGAGGAAGACAGCUCCACCGGCAGCACGACGGCGUGGUGAUAGUGGAGAGGCAGUACUCCGACAGGGCUUCGCCAAGCACACAACGGAGGAGGAGAGGUGUUGGGGAGGGGAGGGCUGCGCCUUGGAGGGUGGUGCGGCUGCCCUCCCCUCACCCCUCUAUUUAUAGGGGGAAGGGAGAAGGGGGCCGGCCCCCUAGAACCCAUCUAGGGGGGGUGCGGCGGCCUAGGGGAGAGGGGAGAGGGUGGCUUGCCCCCCAAGCCAAGGGGGGCGCCCCCUCUAGGGUUCCCCCUCAACCCUAGGCGCAUGGGCCCAAGGGAGGGGGUUGCGGCCAGCCCACCAGGGGCUGGCUCCCUGCCCCACGCAGCCCAUGUGGCCCCCCAGGAGGGGUGGCCCCUCCCGGUGGACCCCCGGAACCCUUCCGGUGGCCCCGGUACAAUACCGGUAUGACCCCGAAACUUUCCGGUGUCCGUUUGACAACUUCCCAUAUAUAAAUCUUUACCUCCGGACCCUUCCGGAUUUCCUCGUGACGUCCAGGAUCCCAUCCGGGACUCCGAAAAACAUUCGGUAGUCACAUACUAGUCUUCCUAAUAACCCUAGCGUCACCGAACCUUAAGUGUGUAGACCCUACGGGUUCGGGAGACAUGCAGACAUGACCGAGACGCUCUCAGUCAAUAACCAACAGCGGGAUCUGGAUACCCAUGAUGGCUCCCACAUGCUCCUCGAUGUUGUCAUCGGAUGAACCACGAUGUCGAGGAUUCGAUCAAACCCUGUAUGCAAUUCCCUUUGUCAAUCGGUACGUUACUUGCCCGAGACUCGAUCGUCGGUAUCCCAAUACCUUGUUCAGUCUCGUUACCGGCAAGUCACUUUACUCGUACCGUAAUGCAUGAUCCCGUGUCCAACACCUUGGUCACAUUGAGCUCAUUAUGAUGAUGCAUUACCGAGUGGGCCCAGAGAUACCUCUCCGUCAUACGGAGUGACAAAUCCCAGUCUCGAUCCGUGUCAACCCAACAGAUACUUUCGGAGAUACCUGUAAUGCACCUUUAUAGUCACCCAGUUACGUUGUGACGUUUGAUACACCCAAGGCACUCUUACGAUAUCCGGGAGUUACACGAUCUCAUGGUCGAAGGAAGAGAUACUUGACACUGGCAAAGCUCUAGCAAAACGAACUACACGAUCUUUUAUGCUAUGCUUAGGAUUGGGUCUUGUCCAUCACAUCAUUCUCCUAAUGAUGUGAUCCCGUUAUCAACGACAUCCAAUGUCCAUAGUCAGGAAAACAUGACUAUCUGUUGAUCACAACGAGCUAGUCAACUAGAGGCUCACUAGGGACAUAUUGUGGUCUAAGUAUUCACACGUGUAUUACGAUUUCCGGAUAAUACAGUUAUAGCAUGAAUAAAAGACAUUUAUCAUGAACAUUGAAAUAUAAUAAUACUUUUAUUAUUGCCUCUAGGGCAUAUUUCCAACAUUUUCAUGGGGGGUUUAACAAUUGAACUGCCAAUGUGUGUGAUAUCCAUACCAGAACCGCUUGCCGUGCGAAUUUGGUCGCCUCCAUUGUACUUCUCCCGCAUCGUCAACUUGUCAAGUUCACCUGUGAUGUGGUUUGUUGCUGCACUGUCGGCGUACCAGUUGGUGUCCACGCCAUAGGAGGCUGCAUGCGCUUGCUUUUCUUCCUGGUCGUUUUCUUCAUAACGCCACCAGCAAACUCGUGCACCUCCUGGAUGGUGUCUGUAGCAUAUCUGACAUUCUGGAUAGUCAUGUUGUUGCUCACGAGCCUGCUGUUGCUGUUGCUAUCGAGGACGGCCUCUGAACCCGCCGCCUCCAUUGGAGGAAGAUGACUGUCGGUCACCGCGGUCACCACGAUCACCACGGCCACGGCCUCUUCCUCCACGCCCGCGAGAUCUGCCACGGGACUGGCCACAGCCUCUGUAGACCGCAUUAGCGGAUGAAUAGAACCCGCCUGAAGAUGAGUCGCCUAGCAUCUCCAUCCUUUGAUCAAAGGCAGCAAUCUGGGCAAAAAGAUCGUCGGCUGUGAUGAUGUUUUUGACAGCGCCGAUCGCCGCCACCACGGGGACGUAGUCGCGGUCCAGUCCGGCCAGAAUAUAGUCCACCAUCUCCGGAUCAGAUACGGGACGACCUGCAGCAGCUAGUUCAUCCCCAAGACUUUUCAUCUUCGCCAUAUACGCCGAGCUUGACAUCGAGCCCUUCUUGGUAUUGGUGAUGGCGAUUCUCAGAUUAGUAAUCCGAGACUGAGAUUGUGAGGCGAAGAGAUUUGUCACCGUCGUCCAGAGCUCAAAGGUGGAAUCUUUCCCAACAACUUGUGCAAGAAUUUCUGGAGACAUGGAAUUGAGAAGGUAUGAUAGAACCUGCUGAUCUUUGGUGAUCCAGGGUCCGUAUAGGGGAUUCGGCUCUAGGGCCGUGGUCUUGUCUGCCUUCGUGAUCUCCACCAUCUUGGGUGGAGCGGCAUCGGUGUUGUCCAGGAGCCCCGUCACCUGCGCGCCUCGCAGGGCUGGGAGGACCUGCGUCUUCCAGAGGAUGAAAUUACCUCUUGCGAGCUUCUCAGACGGCGGCGAUCCAAGGUUGAGGGAGACGCCGGCGGAGGAAGCCAUGGAGACGAUGAUGUGUGGUUUCUAGGGUUUUGGAUUGUGGCUAGAUGUAUGAGAAGAGGUGGCUCUGAUUACCAUGAAAGAUAUGAAGCGUUCCUACUCCAUCGAGGGAGCCGUGUGGUAGUUUAUAUUGAUGCGUGGCCGAAGCCUGGCUUGACGUACAAGGUUAUGACAGAAAAAGUUUGGGUAGAAUACAAAAGAAGGAAGGAGGUUGAGAUUACAACUCUAUAUUCUAACAUACUCAUCAUUAGACUUAUUUAUUCUCGUUUUUAUACGAUGCAGUUGGGACAGAAAUGUGCGUCCAGAAUGAAAAGGAGAAGCUACGAUGUCGCUCGAUUUCUUACUCGUACCUUUAUCCGUCUGCUAUGAGUGGUAGAUCAUGUCAAUAUGACCCUUUUCGCAAAAAAUAGGGAUCUUUGUUCUUUCAGAGAUGGAAAAUUAUUCUGCGAAAAUAAUCACGCGCGAACGCUUCGAUAAACAUAGCAAAGUUUAAUCACAUAUCUUCACCACCUCUUCCUUCGUUCAAGUGGUUGGCUUGCCUAGGAAAGAUGGUCCCGAGUUGGAGCCACACCCCUCAUGCACCUCGGGUGAUUAUUUUCGCAGAAUAAUGGAGCGUUCGCGCGUGGACUGUGUCCCAGCAAACGAAACAUUUUUUCUAACGUGGCAACCCAGCGAUCAUCAAGAUCCAUGCACACGAUCUGACGGUAAACAGAGCGUUCGGUGGAAGUUUGGUUCCAGGGAAAUCACCCAGUUAACAUUUCCCUUUUUUAUGAUUCGAACAUAUAUGACCAGAUAAUAAAGGCGAUGAACAAGUGUAGGUUAAAAACAAAGAUAUUACCUGUAUGGCCCUGAAAUGCAUGACAAGUCCAGUUACAGGUUGAUAUAAAAAUAAGAGCUAUCAGGCAUAAAGCCUUUAUGUUGUUCAUCAUAAUCGCCAUGAUUAGAAGCACCACCUAGCCUGUUUUCUUCUUCUUCUUCUUCU
rnacentral:lncRNA from 1 species